rnacentral:rRNA from 1 species
CAGUCGCCGCGGUAAUACAGAGGGUGCGAGCGUUAAUCGGAUUUACUGGGCGUAAAGCGUGCGUAGGCGGCUUUUUAAGUCGGAUGUGAAAUCCCUGAGCUUAACUUAGGAAUUGCAUUCGAUACUGGGAAGCUAGAGUAUGGGAGAGGAUGGUAUAAUUCCAGGUGUAGCGGUGAAAUGCGUAGAGAUCUGGAGGAAUACCGAUGGCGAAGGCAGCCAUCUGGCCUAAUACUGACGCUGAGGUACGAAAGCAUGGGGAGCAAACAGGAUUAGAGACCCCGGUAGUCCCUGUCUCUUAUAC